rnacentral:rRNA from 1 species
AGCGAACGCUGGCGGCAGGCCUAACACAUGCAAGUCGAACGAACUCUUCGGAGUUAGUGGCGGACGGGUGAGUAACACGUGGGAACGUGCCUUUAGGUUCGGAAUAACUCAGGGAAACUUGUGCUAAUACCGAAUGUGCCCUUCGGGGGAAAGAUUUAUCGCCUUUAGAGCGGCCCGCGUCUGAUUAGCUUGUUGGUGGGGUAAUGGCCCACCAAGGCGACGAUCAGUAGCUGGUCUGAGAGGAUGACCAGCCACAUUGGGACUGAGACACGGCCCAAACUCCUACGGGAGGCAGCAGUGGGGAAUCUUGCGCAAUGGGCGAAAGCCUGACGCAGCCAUGCCGCGUGAAUGAUGAAGGUCUUAGGAUUGUAAAAUUCUUUCUCCGGGGACGAUAAUGACGGUACCCGGAGAAGAAGCCCCGGCUAACUUCGUGCCAGCCGCCGCAGUAACAC